rnacentral:tRNA from 1 species
GAUGGUAUAGCUUAAGUGGUAGAGUAUGUGCUUAGCAUGCACGGGGUCCUAGGUUCAAUCCCCAGUACCUCCU